AAAAAAUAAUUUGGUGCAGGUGCCUUUCGGGGCUUAAUAGGGAAGACCGGUUAAAGGCCGGCGCGGUCCCGCCACUGUAAUGGGGAGCAAAGCCAUGAUAUGCCACUGGAGCGUAAGUUCCGGGAAGGUAUGGCAAGAGCCACGAUCCAGAGCCAGGAGAACUGCCUGCAUGACAAUCACCGU
rnacentral:ncRNA from 2 species